CUCUUCCUAUCUAUUGUGAAGCAGAAUUCACCAAGUGUUGGAUUGUUCACCCUUCAAAAGGGGAACGUGAGCUGGGUUUUAGACCGUCGUGAGACAGGUUUAGUUUUACCCCUACUAAUGAAGUAGGAUUAUUCUAAUAGUAAUUCAAUUCAGUACGAGAGGAACCAUUGAUUCAGAUAUUUGGUUUAUAAGAUUAUUUGAACAGAUAGUGUCUUGAAGCUAUCAUCUGUAGGAUUACAACUGAACGCCUCUAAGUUGGAAUCCAUGCUAGAACUAAGAAUAAUGUAUUGAUCGUAAUAUUAAAUAAAAAAAGAUAGACGAAAGUCCUAAUUAAUACGCUUAGAGUUACUCAAUUUGAUUCCAGACAAUUUGGGAUUUUUUUGUACAUGCUCGAAUUAUAAUUUUAAAUAAUAUGAUCGUUGAUCCUUUGUAGACGAC
rnacentral:rRNA from 1 species